rnacentral:rRNA from 1 species
AUUGAACGCUGGCGGCAUGCCUUACACAUGCAAGUCGAACGGUAACGGGCCUUCGGGUGCCGACGAGUGGCGAACGGGCGAGUAAUACAUCGGAACGUGCCCGAUCGUGGGGGAUAACGAGGCGAAAGCUUUGCUAAUACCGCAUACGAUCUACGGAUGAAAGCAGGGGACCGCAAGGCCUUGCGCGGACGGAGCGGCCGAUGGCAGAUUAGGUGGUUGGUGGGAUAAAAGCUUACCAAGCCGACGAUCUGUAGCUGGUCUGAGAGGAUGAUCAGCCACACUGGGACUGAGACACGGCCCAUACUCCUGCGGGAGGCAGCAGUGGGGAAUUUUGGACAGUGGUCGCAAGCCUGAUCCAGCCAUGCCGCGUGCAGGAUGAAGGCCUUCGGGUUGUAAACUGCUUUUGUACGGAACGAAAAGCCUUCUUUUAAUACAGGGGGGUCAUGACGGUACCGUAAGAAUAAGCACCGGCUAACUACGUG